rnacentral:rRNA from 1 species
AGGACGAACGCUGGCGGCGUGCUUAAUACAUGCAAGUCGAGCGAGCUACUUCGGUAGCGAGCGGCGCACGGGUGAGUAACGCGUAGAUGAUCUACCCUUGAGACGGAGAUACCUCCGGGAAACUGGAGUUAAUACCCGAUAACGCACAUUGAUUGGUUUUGAUGUGUUAAAGCGGUGCAAGUCGCACUUGAGGAUGAGUCUGCGGACCUAUCAGCUAGUUGGUGGGGUAACGGCCUACCAAGGCGAAGACGGGUAGCUGAUCUGAGAGGAUGAUCAGCCACAUUGGGACUGAGACACGGCCCAAACUCCUACGGGAGGCAGCAGUAGGGAAUAUUGCGCAAUGGGGGGAACCCUGACGCAGCGACGCCGCGUGAAGUGAUGACGGCCUUUUUGGUUGUAAAGCUCUGUAAAGAGGGAAAAAUGUUGCAGUGAAGAGCUGCAAUUGAUGGUACCUCUAAAGUAAGGACCGGCUAAAUACGUGCCAGCCGCCGC